rnacentral:rRNA from 1 species
GAUGAACGCUGGCGGCGUGCCUAAUACAUGCAAGCCGAGCGAAUGGAUUAAGAGCUUGCUCUUAUGAAGUUAGCGGCGGACGGGUGAGUAACACGUGGGUAACCUGCCCAUAAGACUGGGAUAACUCCGGGAAACCGGGGCUAAUACCGGAUAACAUUUUGAACCGCAUGGUUCGAAAUUGAAAGGCGGCUUCGGCUGUCACUUAGGGAUGCACCCGCGUCGCAUUAGCUAGUUGGUGAGGUAACGGCUCACAAAAGCAACGAUGCGUAGCCGACCUGAGAGGGUGAUCGGCCACACUGGGACUGAGACACGGCCCAGACUCCUACGGGAGGCAGCAGUAGGGAAUCUUCCGCAAUAGACGAAAGUCUGACGGAGCAACGCCGCGUGAGUGAUGAAGGCUUUCGGGUCGUAAAACUCUGUUGUUAGGGAAGAACAAGUGCUAGUUGAAUAAGCUGGCACCUUGACGGUACCUAACCAGAAAGCCACGGCUAACUACGUGCCAGCCGCCGCAGUAA